rnacentral:rRNA from 1 species
GUGAGGAAUUUUCCGCAAUGGGCGAAAGCCUGACGGAGCAAUGCCGCGUGAAGGAUGAAGGCCUAUGGGUUGUAAACUUCUUUUCUCAGAAAAGAAUUAUGACGGUAUCUGAGGAAUAAGCAUCGGCUAACUCUGUGCCAGCAGCCGCGGUAAGACAGAGGAUGCAAGCGUUAUCCGGAAUGAUUGGGCGUAAAGCGUCUGUAGGUUGUUUAAAAAGUAUUCUGUCAAAGAUUAGGGCUUAACCCUAGAUAGGCAGAAUAAACUUUUAAGCUAGAGUUUGGUAGAGGCAGAGGGAAUUCCCGGUGGAGCGGUGAAAUGCGUAGAUAGCGGGAGGAACACCAAAGGCGAAGGCACUCUGCUGGGCCAAUACUAACACUGAGAGACGAAAGCGAGGGGAGCAAAUGGGAUUAGAAACCCUAGUAGUCC